GCUCGAGCCGCCACCUCGAGCCGUGUCCCAGAGUUCCGAAGGACCUCGCGCUUCAUGCCGCGACGGCACUCUCCUGACCCCUCCUCUCGACGCCACGCCUCCCGCCAUCUACCGGCCGGCCGCCUCGGAGAACGUGGGAUCGCAGAGACGGUAACACGCCUGCCGAGGAUACCCGGCGUAGCUCUCGCAUCCACCGAAGCGGCGUCGUUCACGAGUGGAGCCUCCGGCACCAUCAACCCAGUCCCCUGCUGGUGAAACGGCAUCUUCAUGGUCAGGUGGUGUGAAGAGAGAGGAGGACGGGCACUGCAGAUGGCGAGCACCUUGGCAUCAAAUCUGCAGAGCUCAAGGAAAUGAGGCAAAAGACGGGGAGCUGUAACGACCCAGAAGUGAAGACGUCUGAGACGCAUGCCCCCCGCCCCACGGUACAUAUCCUCAUCUCCACGUGUCCUCAAAGCAACAGUUUUCAGCAUGACCCAUCUUCCCCGGCUGAGUUCAAAAGGACCUCGUGUGCCGAUCGCCUAGAAAUGCCUCCGCUGCGAGCUGUGGCGGGUCCUCCCGAUCGACCCUGGGCCACUGUGAAGCUCUCUUCUGGGUAAGCGCGUGCAUUCAGGGUGCUAGAAUUGGAUUCGUGAACUUCCAGGCAUAAACAUAGCCUCGUGACUCCGUCGUUAUAAGACCUCCCCCUCCCGCAUCCCCAGUCUAGGAGGGCCAAAACCUCAGCGUCUGAUCUGCACAGGUGUUUAUGGCCAGAAGGUUCUCCCAGGCAAAGCAGCUAUUUCUUUGGAGUCUCUGUGUAUGGGGGGAAAAUGACUCUGUGGGAGGGUCGGGUUGGGGUACGUCUCUGGACAUGAGCAGCAGGGGCCCAGGCCAACUAGCUACCUGACACAAGUAUCGAAAUGUUGCGAUUCCGCGGAAUCGCAACAUUUCAUCUAUGAGUACCAUUCUUUGCCGUGUGUGCCGCCAAA